UGCUGCGCUGGUCCUGGGGCGGGAAGGCUCGGACCCCCCCCCCGCCCUGGCCGGGACCCUCGGGGAGACAGACCCACACACCGGGGCCUGGGGGGGCGGUACUGCCCCCCCCCCGCAACCUGAAACUGGAUCACACAUGUCAAGAAGGUGUCUUAUUAACAGUCAUAGGCGUCACUGCAGAAUCUUCAGAAUGAUCUAAUGACACAGACAUGUCAUUUGAGGUGACCUGAAAGAUAUUUUGUCACUUAGAAGAAGUCAAAGCCCGAUCGUUACAAACUUGUCUGCACUAUUAUUGAAUUUUACGAAAUACUUAAUCACACACAAGAUGCUUGCAGAAUAUCGUAACUCACAUGCUCAUGUAUCAGUUGUUCGAGCUAGCCAACAGGAGCAGCAAACGGAGGUUUUGCGAGGGAGUUCUCCAGGAGAGAGGAA